rnacentral:rRNA from 1 species
GAUGAACGCUGGCGGCGUGCCUAAUACAUGCAAGUCGAGCGAACGGACGAGAAGCUUGCUUCUCUGAUGUUAGCGGCGGACGGGUGAGUAACACGUGGAUAACCUACCUAUAAGACUGGGAUAACUUCGGGAAACCGGAGCUAAUACCGGAUAAUAUUUUGAACCGCAUGGUUCAAAAGUGAAAGACGGUCUUGCUGUCACUUAUAGAUGGAUCCGCGCUGCAUUAGCUAGUUGGUAAGGUAACGGCUUACCAAGGCAACGAUGCAUAGCCGACCUGAGAGGGUGAUCGGCCACACUGGAACUGAGACACGGUCCAGACUCCUACGGGAGGCAGCAGUAGGGAAUCUUCCGCAAUGGGCGAAAGCCUGACGGAGCAACGCCGCGUGAGUGAUGAAGGUCUUCGGAUCGUAAAACUCUGUUAUUAGGGAAGAACAUAUGUGUAAGUAACUGUGCACAUCUUGACGGUACCUAAUCAGAAAGCCACGGCUAACUACGUGCCAGCAGCCGCGGUAAUACGUAGGUGGCAAGCGUUAUCCGGAAUUAUUGGGCGUAAAGCGCGCGUAGCGGUUUUUUAGUCUGAUGUGAAAGCCCACGGCUCAACCGUGGAGGGUCAUUGGAAACUGGAAAACUUGAGUGCAGAAGAGGAAAGUGGAAUUCCAUGUGUAGCGGUGAAAUGCGCAGAGAUAUGGAGGAACACCAGUGGCGAAGGCGACUUUCUGGUCUGUAACUGACGCUGAUGUGCGAAAGCGUGGGGAUCAAACAGGAUUAGAUACCCUGGUAGUCCACGCCGUAAACGAUGAGUGCUAAGUGUUAGGGGGUUUCCGCCCCUUAGUGCUGCAGCUAACGCAUUAAGCACUCCGCCUGGGGAGUACGACCGCAAGGUUGAAACUCAAAGGAAUUGACGGGGACCCGCACAAGCGGUGGAGCAUGUGGUUUAAUUCGAAGCAACGCGAAGAACCUUACCAAAUCUUGACAUCCUUUGACAACUCUAGAGAUAGAGCCUUCUCCUUCGGGGGACAAAGUGACAGGUGGUGCAUGGUUGUCGUCAGCUCGUGUCGUGAGAUGUUGGGUUAAGUCCCGCAACGAGCGCAACCCUUAAGCUUAGUUGCCAUCAUUAAGUUGGGCACUCUAAGUUGACUGCCGGUGACAAACCGGAGGAAGGUGGGGAUGACGUCAAAUCAUCAUGCCCCUUACGAUUUGGGCUACACACGUGCUACAAUGGACAAUACAAAGGGCAGCGAAACCGCGAGGUCAAGCAAAUCCCAUAAAGUUGUUCUCAGUUCGGAUUGUAGUCUGCAACUCGACUACAUGAAGCUGGAAUCGCUAGUAAUCGUAGAUCAGCAUGCUACGGUGAAUACGUUCCCGGGUCU